rnacentral:rRNA from 1 species
ACAGAGACCUCAAGCGUUAUCCGGAAUCAUUGGGCGUAAAGCGUACCGAUAGGUGGUUUAGAAAGUCAGAUGUGAAAUUCCAAGGCUCAACCUUGGGACUGUCAUUUGAAACUUCUAAACUAGAGGGGCAAAGAGGAAGCUGGAACGAACGGUGUAGUAGUGAAAUGCGUUGAUAUCGUUCGGAACACCAAUAGCGAAGGCGGACUUCUGGGUGCCACCUGACACUGCUAGGACGAAAGCGUGGGGAGCGAAUGGGA